rnacentral:rRNA from 1 species
UAAAAUAAUUAAGGGCACACAAAGGAUGCCUAGGUAGUAAGAGCCGAUGAAGGACGUGGUAAGCUGCGAUAAGCCUAGAUAAGUUGCAAUCGAACGUAAGAGUCUAGGAUUUCCGAAUGGAGCAAUCUAUUAAGAUGGAGUCUUAAUACGAAAGAGGGAACCGCGUGAACUGAAACAUCUAAGUAACGCGAGGAAAAGAAAGUAAAAACGAUACCCAAAGUAGCGGCGAGCGAAAUGGGUCAAGCCUAAACCUUAAAUAUGUCAAGGAUACAGCCGUUGUAUUUAAGGGGUUGAGGGACAGAGUAGUGAAGAACUGUAAGAUAUUCAAUAUAGUGUAUUGAUGAAUUGGAAUUGUCUGGAAAGGCGAACCGUAGAAGGUGAAAGUCCUGUACAAGUAAAUCCUUACACAUAUAACUCUGCUCCCAAGUAACAUGGAACACGAGGAAUUCUGUGUGAAUCUGUGAGGACCAUAUCUCAUAAGGCUAAAUACUCUUACUAACCGAUAGCGCAUAGUACCGUGAGGGAAAGGUGAAAAGAACCCCUGGAGGGGAGUGAAAUAGAACCUGAAAUUGUGUGCUUACAAGCGGUCAGAGCCCAUUUGGGUGAUGGCGUGCCUUUUGGAGAAUGAUCCUGCGAGUUACGUUAAACGGCGAGGUUAAGUAUAACGGAGCCGAAGGGAAACCAAGUCUUAAUAGGGCGAUUUAGUCGUUUGGCGUAGACGCGAAACCUGGUGAUCUAAACCUGUCCAGGAUGAAGCUGUGGUAAGACACAGUGGAGGUCCUAACCCACCGCCGUUGAAAAGUUGGGGGAUGAGGUAGGUUUAGGGGUGAAAAGCCAAUCGAACCAGGAGAUAGCUCGUUCUCUCCGAAAUGCAUCUAGGUGCAGCCUUGAGUGUUCAAUUAUGGGGGUAGAGCACUGAAUGAUCUAGGGGGCAUAUUGCUUACUGAAAUCAAUCAAACUCCGAAUACCAUAAUUUAUAGCUCAGGAGUGAGACUAUGGGAGUUAACUUCCAUUGUCAAAAGGGAAACAACCCAGACCACCAGCUAAGGUCCCUAAUUAUAACUAAGUGGGAAAGGAGGUGGAGAUUCACAAACAACUAGGAGGUUGGCUUAGAAGCAGCCAUACCUUUAAAGAGUGCGUAAUAGCUCACUAGUCGAGAGUCUCUGCGCCGACAAUGUAACGGGGCUAAGUUAUAAACCGAAGCUGUGGAAUCCGUAAGGAUUGGUAGGAGAGCGUUCUGUAGGCCGUUGAAGAAGAAGGGUAACCGACUUUGGAGGUAUCAGAAGUGAGAAUGCAGGAAUAAGUAGCGAGAAAGGGGGCGAGAAUCCCCCUCGCCGGAAGACCAAGGUUUUCAGGGUAAAGCUUGUCUUCCCUGAGUAAGCCGGGACCUAAGCCCAGGCUAUAAUGCGUAGGCGAAUGGAAAACAGAUUAAUAUUUCUGUGCCAGUCAUUUAUUGUGAUGGAGGGACGCAGAAGGGUAUGCGCGCGGACGAUCGGUUGUGUCCGUAGAAGUAUGUAGGGUGACUUAGUAGGUAAAUCCAUUAAGUUAUAUCUGAGGUAUGAUAUACAGUCGUAAGAUGAAUGCGCAAAUCCCACGCUGCCAAGAAAAGCUUCUAACGUUAAUAUAUGACUGCCCGUACUGUAAACCGACACAGGUGGUCAGGAUGAGAAAUCUAAGGCGGACAGGCUAACUCUCGUUAAGGAACUCUGCAAAAUAACCUCGUAACUUCGGGAGAAGAGGAGCCCUUGAGUGUUAGUAUCCAUGCGAUACAAAGCGCUCGAGGGUCGCAGUGAAGAGGCUCAAGCAACUGUUUAACAAAAACACAGGUCUAUGCUAAGCUGGAAGGCGAUGUAUAUGGGCUGACACCUGCCCAGUGCUGGAAGGUUAAGAGGAGGAGUGAGAGCUCCGAAUUGAAGCCCCAGUGAACGGCGGCCGUAACUAUAACGGUCCUAAGGUAGCGAAAUUCCUUGUCGGGU